UAAUCAAUUGUACUUGAGGAAAACUGCAAAUAUAUUUCCCGUUUUGUAGUAGAGGUUAUAAUUGUAAGAGAAAAGUGACGUGAGGAUAAGGAGGCGUGCAUGAAACCAAACUGAAUGGAUAAGGCAAUUACAAUAUUAGAGGUCACAUAGAAAGUGAGAGCUACUGUUGUAGGGGCUUGUUCCUGUCAUAUUUAAUGUUUGUUUAGCAGCAGUCCUGUUCUCAUUUGAACUUGCCUUUCAUCAAGCGCAGAAACAGAUGUGUAUGGAUCUGUUAUUUCAUAGAGCCUUCCCUUACACCAGUGUAUUAUUUUGUCCUCAGUAGUUGCCACGCCUUGCAGCUCCACUUGUUUCUUGUGAGACUAUUCCAUGGUCUAAAAUAUCCCGUUGUUCAGAAAGCUUUCAUAAAUGAUCUCUUUCCUAAUCUGCACUUCGCUCUUCUUGAAUUUAGCAUCAUAUAUCCCAUGAGUUCUUCAUUGAGUGCAUGCACACUUCAGAUGCUUCUAGAUCUUCUAAAUCAUUAUUUAAGACAGCAACCAACUCUCUAUUUCUCUUGAUGUGAGCUACUUUCAGUGUAUUGGCAUCAUUAUGGUAACGGGUGCUCAGAAAUGAAUUUCUGAAGGAGUCACACCAGACCUGUAUUAUGAUUUGUCACUUCCCAACUCAGUGAAAUAUUGCUGCAUAUGGAUCAAACCACACAUUCUACAAAUGCUUAGUUGAUUGAAAUCAGACUAACUACCCAGAUGGUUCAAGAAAUUUUAAGGUGUGAUUCCAUGGCAGUUUCAGAUGAUCUAAAUCCUGACUUCACCCACCCCCUCCUCCCGUUCCCAGCUCCGUGUUCCCAUCGCUUUUCCUGUGCUGGCACUUUCCUGUGUCUCACCCAGCACAUUGCCAGCGAGGCUGCUUUUGGCUGUACAGCCUCCAAACAGGAUGUUACGUUAUUAUAUGCAAUUCUCUUCCCUGAUGUACUAUCUGAGCGUUGGCCAAACUACCAGUGCACCACUAUGAUUCAUGCAGAACACUUAAUCUCAGUGGAGCCAAAGUGUCACAGGUUUGCCUGUGAGAGACUUCUGGACAUUGAAAUUCUUUUAAAUACCAUUGGUUUCUAACAGUCACGUAUGGCUCUCCCUCAAGAACAUGGAUGUCAGGCCACAUGCGUGAGAGGCACAGCUACAAAAUGAGCAUCAUGGAUAUUCGUCCUUGAAGCUGAAUUUUCAGAGCUGAAGGAAUAGUUUGAAGCUGAAGUGUCUUCCAGCCUGGUUAUGAGAAUUACAGAACCUAAACCAUGGCUUACACGUCAUUUGCUUUGGAAAAUAAAAACCUGCUUUUGAAAGCAUCUGAAUAUGCAGAAACGAGGUGAUGGUCUUCUCUUUCGUUUUUCAAUGUUUAUGUUGGAGUAGUGCUCAGAGGCCCCAGAAUUGAAGAAAUGAACUGCUCUGCAGUCGUUUAUGAAGAAGUUGUCACGACUCCUAAUGCGCCUGCCUGCUCCACUGCUACAAACUGUGCCACAGUGCAGCAAAGAAUUGAAUGGUUUCUGAAGCAAGUGUGUGAGGAAACCUGGCUUUUCAGCCUCACAAGGUAGUUGCUGGGAGGAAGGGAGAGAGGAAAGGAAAGAGAGGAGGCUGGGAUUUCUGAGACUGCGUCAGUACUUUAAGGAGUUGUUGAAUAAAGCAUCUCACAUAUAUCUUGCUCAUCCUCUGGCACUCCUAAGAAAGCAGUAGCUGCCACUGUGGUUUGUGAAGUGGCUGAUGCUGCAGGUUAAGCAGUACAUACUUACUGGAUCCAUCCCCUCAGAUGAAGGAGUACUUGGACAGGCUUGUGCGGACCUGCUCAAUUUUGCCCAGGACAAGGGAUUUUUUUUUUUAAUAUAUCAGAGCACAAGUCUGGAUAGGAUGCCUGUGAAGUCAGACACAUUCAGAGUGAGACAGUGCAUAGGUUUUCUGGAACAUGGUUUGAUCCCUCUAAAUCCACUGAAGUCCUCACUUAGGCAUAUAUGUCCUCCUCUGUCCUUGCUAUGAGACAUGCCCAGCUGAUGAUCCUGUAAGGCCUCUUGAUCCAACUGUGUGUGGAGCCAGAUCUAACAUAGCUCAGAAGAUACUGCUUUCUGCACCAAGGAGAUGAUCUAGUUUCCAACUUCUGAUUUUCCCAGAUCAGCACGUUGCUUUGUGUAACCAGGACAGAAGAUACAGACUUGCAUAGCAUGUGUCCUAACUUUCAGCAGAUAGAUAGAAACUUUUCAUGGAAACUUGGAAACUGGUCUGAAUGUGAAAUGGUAACCUAAAACUAAAAUGUUCCAUGUUAUAAUUGGACUCCUAAAUCUCCCAAGUUGCCACACUGAUCCUACAGUAUUACACAGAGGUUUCAUUUCAAAUCCUUUUGGAAAACUCAGUACAACUUCCUCUGUCAUUUUAAAGAAAAUGUAUUACAUGAUCUGCCUAGUUCUUGCCACUACCAUAAAGGGACGACGCGGUCUGUAAGGCCUUCAUUUAUUGCCAUUUUCUUUUUGGCUGAAGCAUUUAGAGGAUGAAGCUGGGGCAGCCAAAGGCCUGUAAACCAUUUACUCCAUAAUUUUAAAGGUUCAAGAAGAAUUCAAAUGAUGCGUAGAUUUUUGUGCUGGCUGUGUCCGCAUGUGAGAAAAUUUUAUCCAUGUGGAUUGUCAUUCAAGCUGUCUAGACCCCCUCUGUUGCCAUUACUUUGUAAAGCCUAUCUUUGCAGGGCGACCCUCGUCCUACCUUAAAGCUGCUAAAUAGCAAUUACAGCAGAUGUCUUUGCCGGGGGAUGUGUGCAUCAGUUGAAAGAGUGUGUACCCAGGAUCUCUAGGUUUUGAAGGAUUUUGAAGAACUAAAGAGCAUAGGAAAUGAGUGUGAUAAAGCUCACCGUGAGACCUUAUGGAAGGGGAAUGUGAUUUUAUAAACAAAAUCUCUGUAAACAGUUGACUGUCUCCCUUUACGCUUUCACACCCACAUACUCGGAAGCACCAAAAUUUGUGUGUUCGAAUGGUCUGGCCAAGAUCACGUGUAUGAUCACACAGAGGAUAAGGAUGCUGUCUGUUAAGUCCUCAUUGUGCCUCUGGGUUUCUUGAUUGGCAAAUGAACUGAUUUUGGACUUGCUUUUUAUACUCUCUAGGAGGGGAUGGUGUUUGGGAUACUUUGCCUCACUAUUUUGUUUCACCUUUCACAAAUUCAUGAAUGUCUUGUUGCCUUUGGGUAUUUUAUGGCUCUGGACUUGUUCUUCGUCUUGUUUGAUACCUUAUCUUUAGGUCGGUUUGUUCCUCCUCUUCAUUCACAUACCUUUCUUUUUAAUACAUGUUCUGCUGCUUCUGGUACUUUCACGCACGCGCACACACACACACACUUCUUCUCACACUUCAUUAAUACCAUCUUAAUAUUUGUUACAAAUCACUGCGAGAGAACCAAGUAGCUCCUCCUUUUUCCCUGAACACUUCGUUCCUCAAGUGCAAGCCUCACUUUUUAUUUCCAUCUAUACGGUAGCGUAUCAAAUACAGUUAGAUGCCUGUCCCAGUAGGGAGACCCCAUUUACUCUCUGACGUCGGGAUUCUGCCCUAUUCCAGUGGGUCAUUAGUGGAACAAAGCCAAAAGGAGAUUCAAUUAUUUGCUCAAGUCUGAAAGGCCAGUGUUUCAAAACUGCAGAGUGUGCUAUUAACAAGGAUGAAUCCUUUGGCAAUGCAAAAUACUUGCCGUGUGGAACGUAAGACCCUUAUUACAAAUUCAUGAAUGAUUUUAAUGCAUCCUGGCAGCUUUCAUAAGCAUUGCAGUCAUCUGGAAGCAGAAAAGAUCAUUGGUUUGUGCAAAAUAAUACAGCUAUGCUCAUAUUUGAUCUAGCUCUCUAGUGGGAAAGGAAUACUUAAAACUUUAAAAAAAAAAAUCAAGAAAUGUUUCUACUAUACUAUAUCUCACCAAAGUAUUUAGAAGUUAUGUUCGAUAAGAGAUAAUAACUCAAUGGAGAGCAUCAACAAAAAAAGAUGUCUAAAAUGUGCACAGCACUUGAUGUGUUGGAGGAGUUGUAAAAUCAUGUUGUAAAAUUUAACUACCAGUUGUCAGUAAGUAGCACUCUAGUAGGAAAAUCCAGCUAUGAAGAAGUUCUUUCAUUUCAUCAUAAUUUUUUAAAAUGCUUUCUCCAAAAUGUGAGUUUCCCUCUGAGCACUCUUAACUUAGAGGCACUGUUUGGUGCAGAGACAAAGCUGUCGGAAAGGAAAUCAGAUCUGAGAGUGAGCAGCUUUUAUUUCCCUGGGGCACUAUGGUGCAAAAUGACAGCAACAGUCAGCAAGUAACAUUUAUUGUGGUAGAUGCUUGAAGAAGUAUCCAAUAGCUGAUUUCUAGUACAAUUUUCAUAAUACUACUUUUCCCAGUAAACAACUGUUGUGGAAACAAAAGAGAUACUGUAUGAUCACACGUCAGAGAGGAAGCAUUCAUGGGAGAGGAUGCACUGAAAUGAGUAGUGUUCCAGAGCUGCUGUGUGUAAUACUGUUGACCCUGAUGUAAAGCCAAAACUAAAGAUUCAAACUUUCGAAAUUCUAGCUCUUAUUUCUAUAGAGCCAAACACAGCUGAGUUUUGGGUAGGGCUCCUAAAUGCUAUGAAACCUCUUCCUUCUGUAAGUAGAACAGGUUUGUCCCACUUGCUCAGAUUUGCAAAAGAAACUCGUGUAAAGAAAGCUUAUAAUUAAUCUCUCUUCCCAGUCUGCCAUGAAGAAAUUACAGUUUUACAGCUUGCUUUGCCACUGAAUAAUCAGAAUUGGGCAUCCUUCCUCUCUGUUCAGUCAUGAGUAAUUUGCAUUGAGGGGUACCAAAGAACAGCGUAGUGUAAUCACACCCAGGCAGCUAAACAGUCUGAAGAAAUUAAGUCUGUGCAUAAACUACAUCUAGACUUAAAAAAAAACCAAAAAAGCACACAAAAAAACCAAGAGACCCGUGCCUGAAACAGAGCAACGAGCCAGGGAAUAUUUAGGUUUGUUUAUAUUUAUUUACAAAUGUUGGUAGCAGAUGGUUACCGACAUUUCAUCAGUAUGGCUGUUUAAGCAACUUAAAAGCUGUAACAAACAGCACAAUUUAUGUAGCAGUUCGCCUUCUUUAGCCCACUGUUACUUGCAUUACCCAGAACAAGUCCCAUUACAAUUCAUCACACGGCUAAGUAGCUAAAAAAGGAAAUAGAUGCAAGUGCAAAACCAGGGAAGCAGCAUGGUUGUCCAAAACUAGGGAUCAGUGGUUUCUCCAUCAUGGGCGCCUGCUUUGAGUGAUAGUUCUGUGCACAAAAGAUCAUUUUCAGAAGAUUUCUUCCUCCUGAGUACAGAGCGUACCUUGGUUAUUAAAGCUUGUAGAUGCUACAGAUGCAGACACUACCUUAGCUACUAGAUAGGCAUAAUUUAUCUCACCGCUCUCUUUAAGAGAGCAUAUUUAGCAGACAAACUAAACUACUCUGCUUUUUCCCCACAUUACCCUUUUAUUUUCGUGCAACACACAAGCUGGCUAAGAUGCGGUGAUGGCUGACGGAUGAAGGUGGCUAGUCAAAUAGAUGCCUAUGAUACAUACUGGUUAAAAAAUACUGUCUAAAGAAAAUAAAUACAAAUGGGGGAUCUCAGCUGAAUUUCCCAAAAAGAAGACCUCGCACCUAAGAGUAUCGCAUCUAGAGUUGUCAUACAGGAUAUACAGUUCUUGUGUACCUCCCACUGAAACAGUCUAAUUCGGCUGGGCUCGUCUCUCUUGGAUUCACUGACAAAUUCAUAGGCAGCUGGACGGAACUACUUGCGAUACAAAAGUGGAGACAGAAGAAAGCAUCUAUUAUAGCACCAUAAAAGGGAUGAGCAAUAUAAUGAGCAAACAGUGAUUUAAAAAUGAAAACACAAAUGCUUGCUUUGUAAGUAUUUACCAUGAAGCUGACUUUCCUGCUCCUGUUCGAGCAAGUGGCAAGGAACAGGGUAGUGACUCGUUGAGGAGAAUGUCGCUGUAGAUGGCCCAGAGAAGAGGGUGCCACCACCACCACCACCAUCAUUUCACUGCCUGACUUGGCCUCACAGCCUGCCUGGCGCCAGAAACCUCCAUUCAGCAAAAGCCCAAAGUGUGUGUGUCCAUGUGUGUGCGCGCGUUUGUGCCUGAGAAAGGACUACUGACGGUACACUUGCAAACUGAAAGAGGUACUGACUAUGAUCAUUUGUUCCUUGCUGGGAAAAUUCUAUGUACGGUGCCGAUGCAACAUCGUAAAAACCAGGUGGAGUCUGAACUGGAAAUGGGUGUAGUUUAUGUUGAUUUAAUUGAUUACAUUAAGAAUAUUAAGAAGCUGAGAAA